GAUGAACGCUAGCGGCAGGCCUAACACAUGCAAGUCGAGGGAGAAGCCCUUUCGGGGGCAGAAACCGGCGCACGGGUGCGUAACGCGUAUGCAACCUACCUUUCACAGGGGGAUAGCCCGAGGAAAUUUGGAUUAAUACCCCAUAAUAUUAUUGGAUGGCAUCAUUUGAUAAUUAAAACUGCGGUGGUGAAAGAUGGGCAUGCGUCCUAUUAGCUAGUUGGAGUGGUAACGGCACCCCAAGGCUACGAUAGGUAGGGGUCCUGAGAGGGAGAUCCCCCACACUGGUACUGAGACAGGGACCAGACUCCUACGGGAGGCAGCAGUGAGGAAUAUUGGUCAAUGGUCGGAAGACUGAACCAGCCAUGCCGCGUGCAGGAAGAAUGCCUUAUGGGUUGUAAACUGCUUUUAUAUGGGAAGAAUAAGGUGUACGUGUACAUUGANGACGNUNCCA
rnacentral:rRNA from 1 species